rnacentral:rRNA from 1 species
UCGCUCUUCAACGAGGAAUCCCUAGUAAGCGUGAGUCAUCAGCUCACGUUGAUUACGUCCCUGCCCUUUGUACACACCGCCCGUCGCUACUACCGAUUGAAUGGCUUAGUGAGACUCUCGGAUUGGGUUUGAGGAACCGGUAACGGUCCCUCUUCUCUGAGAAGUUUGUCAAACUUGGUCAUUUAGAGGAAGUAAAAGUCGUAACAAGGUUUCCGUAGGUGAACCUGCGGAAGGAUCAUUAGAAAUUUUUAUUAUAUGUAUUCAAAAUUUCAAUCUUUAUAAAAAUUUUAUUUUUAUCUAAAAAAAUAAUAUAAAGACAACUUUCAACAACGGAUCUCUUGGCUCUUGCAUCGAUGAAGAACGCAGCGAAAUGCGAUAAGUAAUGUGAAUUGCAGAAUUCCGUGAAUCAUCAAAUCUUUGAACGCAAAUUGCACUCUUUGGUAUUCCGAAGAGUAUGCUUGCUUGAGGGUUGUUUUAAUAAUCAUCGUUUUUUUUUUUUUAAUUAAAAAAAAAAAACGGAUCUGAGUGUUCCAAGGUUUUAUUAUUUAUAACUUUGGUAACUUGAAAUUAAUCUUAACGAUAUUUUGGUAUGAUAUUGGAAAUGUUUUAUCUUACAUUUUGUAAGUUUCAUUAACAAUCGAUUACUAUCGUUAAUAGCGUAUUAUUUAUUUGAUUCUUUAUAAUUGAAUAUUAUAAUACAAUCUUUUUUUUCAAACCUCAAGUCAAGUAAGAUUACCCGCUGAACUUAAGCAUAUCAAUAAGCGGAGGAAAAGAAACUAACAAGGAUUCCCUUAGUAACGGCGAGUGAAGUGGGAAGAGCUCAAAUUUUAAAUCAUCGAGGUUUCCUCGUUGAAUUGUAAUUUGAAGAAAGUGUUUUGAUUUCCCGGUUUAAUUUAAAUCCUUUGGGAUAAGGUAUCAUAGAGGGUGAGAAUCCCGUUUAUGAUUGAACAUUGGGUUAUCUAUAAUUCACUUUCCAAGAGUCGAGUUGUUUGGGAUUGCAGCUCAAAAUGGGUGGUAAAUUUCACCUAAGGCUAAAUAUGUGCAAGAGACCGAUAGCGAACAAGUACCGUGAGGGAAAGAUGAAAAGAACUUUGAAAAGAGAGUUAAAUAGUACGUGAAAUUGUUGAAAGGGAAACGAUUAAAGUCAGUCAUGCUGGUAGGGAAUCAACUUGAUGGUAUGCGGGUUUUGACUCGUGUCCUUUCCGGUGCAUUUCCUUACUUGCAGGUUAGCAUCAAUUUCGAUUAUCAUAAAAAAAUUGAGGGAAGGUGGCUUCUCUUCGGUGAAGUGUUAUAGACCUUGAUAAAUGUGGUGAUCGGGAUUGAGGAUUGCAGCGGAUACCCUUAAGGGCUAGUCACCUGGCUUCUGAUGGUUACCCUGCCUUCGAUAGCUUGCUAACGUUGGUGGGACUCGAUCGUCUAGAUGUUGGAGUGAUCAUAAAUUCGCUAAGGAUGCUGACGUAAUGGCUUUAAACGACCCGUCUUGAAACACGGACCAAGGAGUCUAACAUGUGUGCGAGUGUU